CCUACGGGAGGCAGCAGUGGGGAAUAUUGCACAAUGGGGGAAACCCUGAUGCAGCGACGCCGCGUGAGCGAGGAAGUAUUUCGGGAUGUAAAGCUCUAUCAGCAGGGACGAAAAAAGACGGUACCUGACUAAGAAGCCCCGGCUAACUACGUGCCAGCAGCCGCGGUAAUGCGUAGGGGGCAAGCGUUAUUCGGAUUUAUUGGGUUUACGGGGGGCGCAGGCGGCCUGUUAAGUCGGCGGUAAAAGCCCGGGGCUCAACCCCGGCGAGCCGUUGAAACUGGCGGGCUGGAGUUGGAGAGAAGUACGCGGAAUGCGCGGUGUAGCGGUGAAAUGCGUAGAUAUCGCGCAGAACCCCGAUUGCGAAGGCAGCGUACCGGCUCCACACUGACGCUGAGGCACGAAAGCGUGGGUAUCGAACAGGAUUAGAUACCCCUGUAGUC
rnacentral:rRNA from 1 species